GACGAACGCUGGCGGCGUGGAUUAGGCAUGCAAGUCGAACGGUAUAAACCUUUCGGGGUUUAGAGAGUGGCGAACGGGUGAGUAACACGUAGGUAAUCUACCCUCAAAACGGGGACAACCCAGGGAAACUUGGGCUAAUACCGGAUGCGUGCAAGCAAUGUUUUGGUUGUUAAUGCUAUUCACGGAAGUGAGUAGUGUUAAUGGUUGAGAGCAUUAUUUGCAUAAAAGGUGGCAUAUGCUGCCGUUUGAGGAUGAGCCUGCGUCCUAUUAGUUAGUUGGUGAGGUAAUGGCUUACCAAGGCGAUGAUAGGUAGGCGGCCUUAACGGGUGGUCGCCCACACUGGGAUUGAGAGACGGCCCAGACUCCUACGGGAGGCAGCAGUCGAAAAUAAGUCUACAAUGGACGGAAGUCUGAUAGUGCGACGCCGCGUGAACGAAGAAUCCCUUCGGGUGUAAAGUUCUUUAUACGUGAGCAGUGCCCUUAUAUGAAUAGUAUAGAGGAGGGAUUUAAGCGUAUGAAU
rnacentral:rRNA from 1 species